GGCCGCCACGCAUGCGAUAGUGCCACCCCUCGGCCUAUAACUGCGUCCCCCGAAAACCCUAGAUCGAGCUCUUUCAUUCCCCCUUGUUCCCCCUUCGCCCCCUUCCUCUGCUGCUCGAAUUUGAGCUCGAAAGAAACUAUGAUCACCGCUGCCACACCGUCGUUGUCACGGCCACCGACGUCUUCGACGUUCGGGAGCACAUCCAGGAGUUCCACCGUCGCCGGAUUCGUUCGUCCGGGCGACCAGCUCAAGUCGGGACGCCCUCGAGCCAACGUCGUCUUCAUCUUCUUCGUCUGGUCGUCACAACCUCGCCGUUGUUGCGUUUGCUUCGGCGCCUCCCUGACCUCCCCGACCUCACCACCGAACUCAUUGUAGACCCCGAGGCCGCUGCUAAGGCCCUAGUGAUCGACUACGUCACCGACGACCCGUCCAUCUCGUCUGAGCAACCAGUCAAGAAAACCCCCCUUGAGCAUUUCGAUAUCGCCUAUUUCUUUCCCUCUCAUGCUUGCAUUAGAACUGCUACUGCUUUCUGUAUGAUCCUACUAUGAUGCAUAGCCUAUUUUUGUUACCUGCUUUCA